rnacentral:rRNA from 1 species
CCGUUCAAUACUGCGGAGCUCGAGGGCAGAAGAGGGGGGUGGAAUUGCUGGUGUAGUGGUGAAAUGCGUAGAUAUCAGCAGGAACACCUGUGGCGAAAGCGGCCCCCUGGUCUGCUCCUGACACUCAGACGCGAAAGCUAGGGGAGUGAACGGGAUUAGAAACCCCGGUAAUCCUAGCCGUAAACGAUGGAUGCUAGGUGUGGGUGGUAUUGACCCCAUCCGUGCCGAAGCCAACGCGUUAAGCAUCCCGCCUGGGGACUACGGCCGCAAGGUUAAAACUCAAAGGAAUUGACGGGGACCCGCACAAGCAGCGGAGCGUGUGGUUUAAUUCGAUGCUACACGAAGAACCUUACCCAGGUUUGACAUGCAGGUAGUAGUGAAGCGAAAGCGGAACGAUCCUUCGGGAAGCCUGCACAGGUGCUGCAUGGCUGUCGUCAGCUCGUGCCGUGAGGUGUUUGGUUAAGUCCACUAACGAGCGCAACCCCUGUCGUCAGUUACAUGUGUCUGGCGAGACUGCCGGUCUUAAACCGGAGGAAGGUGGGGAUGACGUCAAGUCAGCAUGGCCUUUAUAUCUGGG